rnacentral:rRNA from 1 species
CCUACGGGAGGCAGCAGUGGGGAAUUUUGGACAAUGGGCGCAAGCCUGAUCCAGCAAUGCCGCGUGCAGGAUGAAGGCCUUCGGGUUGUAAACUGCUUUUGUACGGAACGAAAAAGUCUGCCCUAAUACGGUGGGCCCAUGACGGUACCGUAAGAAUAAGCACCGGCUAACUACGUGCCAGCAGCCGCGGUAAUACGUAGGGUGCGAGCGUUAAUCGGAAUUACUGGGCGUAAAGCGUGCGCAGGCGGUUAUAUAAGACAGAUGUGAAAUCCCCGGGCUCAACCUGGGACCUGCAUUUGUGACUGUAUAGCUAGAGUACGGUAGAGGGGGAUGGAAUUCCGCGUGUAGCAGUGAAAUGCGUAGAUAUGCGGAGGAACACCGAUGGCGAAGGCAAUCCCCUGGACCUGUACUGACGCUCAUGCACGAAAGCGUGGGGAGCAAACAGGAUUAGAUACCCUGGUAGUCCACGCCCUAAACGAUGUCAACUGGUUGUUGGGUCUUCACUGACUCAGUAACGAAGCUAACGCGUGAAGUUGACCGCCUGGGGAGUACGGCCGCAAGGUUGAAACUCAAAGGAUUGACGGCUGAGACGNGCGACGACGACGACGAGGGAGGAGG